GACGAACGCUGGCGGCGUGCCUAAUACAUGCAAGUCGAACGAACUCUGGUAUUGAUUGGUGCUUGCAUCAUGAUUUACAUUUGAGUGAGUGGCGAACUGGUGAGUAACACGUGGGAAACCUGCCCAGAAGCGGGGGAUAACACCUGGAAACAGAUGCUAAUACCGCAUAACAACUUGGACCGCAUGGUCCGAGCUUGAAAGAUGGCUUCNGCUAUCACUUUUGGAUGGUCCCGCGGCGUAUUAGCUAGAUGGUGGGGUAACGGCUCACCAUGGCAAUGAUACGUAGCCGACCUGAGAGGGUAAUCGGCCACAUUGGGACUGAGACACGGCCCAAACUCCUACGGGAGGCAGCAGUAGGGAAUCUUCCACAAUGGACGAAAGUCUGAUGGAGCAACGCCGCGUGAGUGAAGAAGGGUUUCGGCUCGUAAAACUCUGUUGUUAAAGAAGAACAUAUCUGAGAGUAACUGUUCAGGUAUUGACGGUAUUUAACCAGAAAGCCACGGCUAACUACGUGCCAGCAGCCGCGGUAAUACGUAGGUGGCAAGCGUUGUCCGGAUUUAUUGGGCGUAAAGCGAGCGCAGGCGGUUUUUUAAGUCUGAUGUGAAAGCCUUCGGCUCAACCGAAGAAGUGCAUCGGAAACUGGGAAACUUGAGUGCAGAAGAGGACAGUGGAACUCCAUGUGUAGCGGUGAAAUGCGUAGAUAUAUGGAAGAACACCAGUGGCGAAGGCGGCUGUCUGGUCUGUAACUGACGCUGAGGCUCGAAAGUAUGGGUAGCAAACAGGAUUAGAUACCCUGGUAGUCCAUACCGUAAACGAUGAAUGCUAAGUGUUGGAGGGUUUCCGCCCUUCAGUGCUGCAGCUAACGCAUUAAGCAUUCCGCCUGGGGAGUACGGCCGCAAGGCUGAAACUCAAAGGAAUUGACGGGGGCCCGCACAAGCGGUGGAGCAUGUGGUUUAAUUCGAAGCUACGCGAAGAACCUUACCAGGUCUUGACAUACUAUGCAAAUCUAAGAGAUUAGACGUUCCCUUCGGGGACAUGGAUACAGGUGGUGCAUGGUUGUCGUCAGCUCGUGUCGUGAGAUGUUGGGUUAAGUCCCGCAACGAGCGCAACCCUUAUUAUCAGUUGCCAGCAUUAAGUUGGGCACUCUGGUGAGACUGCCGGUGACAAACCGGAGGAAGGUGGGGAUGACGUCAAAUCAUCAUGCCCCUUAUGACCUGGGCUACACACGUGCUACAAUGGAUGGUACAACGAGUUGCGAACUCGCGAGAGUAAGCUAAUCUCUUAAAGCCAUUCUCAGUUCGGAUUGUAGGCUGCAACUCGCCUACAUGAAGUCGGAAUCGCUAGUAAUCGCGGAUCAGCAUGCCGCGGUGAAUACGUUCCCGGGCCUUGUACACACCGCCCGUCACACCAUGAGAGUUUGUAACACCCAAAGUCGGUGGGGUAACCUUUUAGGAACCAGCCGCCUAAGGUGGGACAGAUGAUUAGGGUGAAGUCGUAACAAGGUAGCCGUAGGAGAACCUGC
rnacentral:rRNA from 2 species